rfam:Lingula anatina scaffold303, whole genome shotgun sequence.
UUUUGCAGUUAUGGAGAUAUCGUCCCCAAUACAAUAACAGGGAAAUGCGUGGGUGGUAUUUGCUCACUGAGCGGUGUGUUGGUGAUCGCGCUUCCAGUGCCUGUCAUUGUGUCAAAU